rnacentral:rRNA from 1 species
GAUGAACGCUGGCGGCGUGCCUAAUACAUGCAAGUCGAGCGAACGGACGAGAAGCUUGCUUCUCUGAUGUUAGCGGCGGACGGGUGAGUAACACGUGGAUAACCUACCUAUAAGACUGGGAUAACUUCGGGAAACCGGAGCUAAUACCGGAUAAUAUUUUGAACCGCAUGGUUCAAAAGUGAAAGACGGUCUUGCUGUCAGUGAUAGAUGGAUCCGCGCUGCAUUAGCUAGUUGGUAGGGUAACGGCUUACCAAGGCAACGAUGCCUAGCCGACCUGAGAGGGUGAUCGACCACACUGGAACUGAGAAACGGUCCAGACUCCUACGGCAGGCAGCAGUAGGGAAUCUUCCGCAAUGGGCGAAAGCCUGACGGAGCAACGCCGCGUGAGGGAUGAAGGUCUUCGGAUCGUAAAACUCUGUUAUUAGGGAAGAACAUAUGUGUAAGUAACUGUGCACAUCUUGACGGUACCUAAUCAGAAAGCCACGGCUAACUACGUG